UACGUAGGCAGCGAGCGUUGUUCGGAGUUACUGGGCGUAAAGGGUGUGUAGGCGGUUCUCUAAGUUUGGUGUGAAAUCUCCCGGCUCAACCGGGAGGGUGCGCCGAAAACUGGAGGGCUAGAGUGCGGGAAGGGAGAGUAGAAUUCCUGGUGUAGCGGUGAAAUGCGUAGAUAUCAGGAGGAAUACCGGUGGUGUAGACGGCUCUCUGGACCGCGACUGACGCUGAGACACGGAAAGCGUGGGGAGCAAACAGG
rnacentral:rRNA from 1 species